AAUAGAUACCCAGGUAGUCCACGCCCUAAACGAUGUCUACUAGUUGUUGGUGGAGUAAAAUCCAUUAGUAACGCAGCUAACGCGUGAAGUAGACCGCCUGGGGAGUACGGUCGCAAGAUUAAAACUCAAAGGAAUUGACGGGGGGCCCGCACAAGCGGUGGAUUAUGUGGAUUAAUUCGAUGCAACGCGAAAAACCUUACCUGGCCUUGACAUGCCACUAACGAAGCAGAGAUGCAUUAGGUGCCCGAAAGGGAAAGUGGACACAGGUGCUGCAUGGCUGUCGUCAGCUCGUGUCGUGAGAUGUUGGGUUAAGUCCCGCAACGAGCGCAACCCUUGCCAAUAAUUGCCAUCAUUCAGUUGGGCACUUUAUUGGGGACUGCCGGUGACAAACCGGAGGAAGGUGGGGAUGACGUCAAGUCCUCAUGGCCCUUAUGGCCAGGGCUUCACACGUAAUACAAUGGUCGGUACAGAGGGUAGCCAAGCCGCGAGGUGGAGCCAAUCCCAGAAAGCCGAUCGUAGUCCGGAUUGCAGU
rnacentral:rRNA from 1 species